rnacentral:tRNA from 1 species
GGGGUAGAGGAAUGGUCAACUCAUCAGGCUCAUGACCUGAAGACUGCAGGUUCGAAUUCUGUCUCC